CGGACGGGUGAGUAAUACUUAGGAAUCUGCCCAUUAGUGGGGGGACAACAUUCGGAAACGGAUGCUAAUACCGCAUACGCCCUACGGGGGAAAGCGGGGGAUCUUCGGACCUCGCGCUAAUGGAUGAGCCUAAGUCGGAUUAGCUUGUUGGUGAGGUAAUGGCUCACCAAGGCGACGAUCCGUAGCUGGUCUGAGAGGACGAUCAGCCACACUGGGACUGAGACGCGGCCCAG
rnacentral:rRNA from 1 species